GCUGGGCACAGUGGCUCAUGCUUGUAUUCCCAGCUACUUGGGAGGCCGAGGCAGGAGAAUCUCUUGAUCCCAGGAGUUUGAGGCUGUAGUGCACUAGGUCAGUUUGGUGUCUACACCAAGUAUGAGUACUGGGAUUUUUCCUAUGAUGGCUACUGCGUUCCAGUCUUGGAAGCAUAGUGAGACUCAGUCUCUU
rnacentral:sRNA from 1 species